rnacentral:rRNA from 1 species
UAGGGAAUCUUCCACAAUGGACGCAAGUCUGAUGGAGCAACGCCGCGUGAGCGAAGAAGGUUUUCGGACCGUAAAGCUCUGUUGUUGGUGAAGAAGGAUAGAGGUAGUAACUGGCCUUUAUUUGACGGUAAUCAACCAGAAAGUCACGGCUAACUACGUGCCAGCAGCCGCGGUAAUACGUAGGUGGCAAGCGUUGUCCGGAUUUAUUGGGCGUAAAGCGAGCGCAGGCGGAAGAAUAAGUCUGAUGUGAAAGCCCUCGGCUUAACCGAGGAAUUGCAUCGGAAACUGUUUUCUUGAGUGCAGAAGAGGAGAGUAGAACUCCAUGUGUAGCGGUGGAAUGCGUAGAUAUAUGGAAGAAUACCAGUGGCGAAGGCGGCUCUCUGGUCUGCAACUGACGCUGAGGCUCGAAAGCAUGGGUAGCGAACAGGAUUAGAUACCCUGGUAGUCCAUGCCGUAAAACGAUGAGUGCUAAGUGUUGGGAGGCUUCCGCCUCUCAGUGCUGCAGCUAACGCAUUAAGCACUCCGCCUGGGGGAGUACGACCGCAAGGUUGAAAC